rnacentral:rRNA from 1 species
GACCUUAGUUGCCAGCAUUCAGUUGGGCACUCUAAGGUGACUGCCGGCUAAAAGUCGGAGGAAGUGGGGAUGACGUCAAAUCAUCAUGCCCCUUAUGACCUGGGCUACACACGUGCUACAAUGGGCGGUACAAAGGGUCGCGAACCCGCGAGGGGGAGCCAAGUCCCAAAAAGCCGCUACUCAGUUCGGAUUGCAGGCUGCAACUCGCCUGCAUGAAGCCGGAAUCGCUAGUAAUCGCGGAUCAGCAUGCCGCGGUGAAUACGUUCCCGGGCCUU